UUCAAAAAAAUACCUCCCUCCCUGUAAAAAAACGCUCUUUCCUUGCCGUAAGGCCUGAGGAGAAAGCUCCGCUUGAGCUUGCUUGUCCCAAGCGGCCCAGGCACCCCUCAUUACCCCGAACGUCCCUCUUGCACCCAGCACGCCUUCGUGGCCAGCGAUUUCAAGUACGCGCCAGAGCUGUUCUCACUCGGGGGGUUUCAGGGAACCUUGACGUGUUGAGGAGGUGUUUGCUGUCAGGGGGAGGAAAGGUUUCCAUUUCCAUACCUGAAGGUGCACCUAUGGAAGAAGGCUGAGGAAAAGACAUAUGCCUAGCACAGAUUUCAGACUUCUGGAUAUCAGCACUACUGUAGAGAAACUGAUCUGACAGGGAGCAAAAAUACACUGUUGGAAAUAAAUUCGGUGUUAUGCUGAAAGUCAUCCAUGAAACCUCAUGGAAGAUGAUGGGUGAGAAAGCUUCCUUUCCCUAGGAAAAGAACUGCCUUCUUUUUGGGACAUCCUCAUUGAGCCUCCAGGAGCUGCACCAUAACAUUCCACACCCUACGUACCGUGGCACACAUGCCUGCAGUGCUGAACUGUGGGGGCUGAGGCACUUCUCCAGGAUCCAACUGCAAAGGCUGGGGACAAGGUGGCAUAUGAUGAAAUGGAGCAACUCAGAAAGUGACAGCAGAAACAUCAGAGAAGCAGACAUAGCAAGUAGCAAGGACACGCCAGAGCAAACAAGGAAAACCCUUGUAGCCUGACCUUGAGAGAAACCUAAGACAGAGAUAGGUUGAGUUAUGGCUCAAAAGGAGCUUGAGAGUGUGAAAAGAGAAAACAUUGACUAUUGCUUUGACUCCUGCUGUGCCCAGAGUAACGGGACAUUGUGUACAGUCUUUCUAAACAAACAGGUGCACAUUUAAAAGCUCAAUUCACUCCCUCAUCCCUUUGUUCUCCAAACAGAAACAACCUGUAGGGACCCUGAAUUUUGGUCGACUACCUGGGUCAAAGAGGGUGACAAGAAGUA